UACGGAGGAUCCGAGCGUUAUCCGGAUUUAUUGGGUUUAAAGGGUGCGCAGGCGGGAGAUUAAGUCGGCGGUGAAAUUUUGCAGCUCAACUGUAAAAGUGCCUUCGAAACUGGUUUCCUUGAGGUGUAGAUGAAGUAGGCGGAAUUUGUGGUGUAGCGGUGAAAUGCAUAGAUAUCACGAGGAACUCCGAUUGCGCAGGCAGCUUACUAAGCUACUACUGACGCUCAGGCACGAAGGCGUGGGGAUCAAACAGGAUUAGAUACCCGGGUAGU
rnacentral:rRNA from 1 species